GACGAACGCUGGCGGCGUGCUUAACACAUGCAAGUCGAACGGAAAGGCCCUGCUUUUGUGGGGUGCUCGAGUGGCGAACGGGUGAGUAACACGUGAGUAACCUGCCCUUGACUUUGGGAUAACUUCAGGAAACUGGGGCUAAUACCGGAUAGGAGCUCCUGCUGCAUGGUGGGGGUUGGAAAGUUUCGGCGGUUGGGGAUGGACUCGCGGCUUAUCAGCUUGUUGGUGGGGUAGUGGCUUACCAAGGCUUUGACGGGUAGCCGGCCUGAGAGGGUGACCGGCGACAUUGGGACUGAGAUACGGCCCAGAAUGCUACGGGAGGCAGCAGUGGGGAAUAUUGCACAAUGGGCGGAAGCCUGAUGCAGAAACGCCGCGUGCGGGAUGACGGCCUUCGGGUUGUAAACCGCUUUCGCCUGUGACGAAGCGUGAGUGACGGUAAUGGGUAAAGAAGCACCGGCUAACUACGUG
rnacentral:rRNA from 1 species